rnacentral:rRNA from 1 species
AUUGAACGCUGGCGGCAUGCCUUACACAUGCAAGUCGAACGGUAACGGGCCUUCGGGUGCCGACGAGUGGCGAACGGGUGAGUAAUACAUCGGAACGUGCCCGAUCGUGGGGGAUAACGAGGCGAAAGCUUUGCUGAUACCGCAUACGAUCUACGGAUGAAAGCAGGGGACCGCAAGGCCUUGCGCGGACGGAGCGGCCGAUGGCAGAUUAGGUAGUUGGUGGGAUAAAAGCUUACCAAGCCGACGAUCUGUAGCUGGUCUGAGAGGAUGAUCAGCCACACUGGGACUGAGACACGGCCCAGACUCCUACGGGAGGCAGCAGUGGGGAAUUUUGGACAGUGGGCGCAAGCCUGAUCCAGCCAUGCCGCGUGCAGGAUGAAGGCCUUCGGGUUGUAAACUGCUUUUGUACGGAACGAAAAGCCUUCUUUUAAUACAGGAGGGUCAUGACGGUACCGUAAGAAUAAGCACCGGCUAACUACGU